AUACGUAGGGGGCGAGCGUUGUCCGGAAUGAUUGGGCGUAAAGGGCGCGUAGGCGGCCCGGUAAGUCUGGAGUGAAAGUCCUGUUUUUAAGAUGGGAAUUGCUUUGGAUACUGUCGGGCUUGAGUGCAGGAGAGGUAAGUGGAAUUCCCAGUGUAGCGGUGAAAUGCGUAGAGAUCGGGAGGAACACCAGUGGCGAAGGCGGGUAACUGGACUGCAACUGACGCUGAGGCGCGAAAGUGUGGGGAGCAAACAGGAUUAGAUACCCUGGUAGUCCACACUGUAAACGAUGAAUGCUAGGUGUAAGAGGUAUCGACCCCUUUUGUGCCGGAGUCAACACAAUAAGCAUUCCGCCUGGGGAGUACGGCCGCAAGGUUGAAACUUAAAUGAAUUGACGGGG
rnacentral:rRNA from 1 species